rnacentral:tRNA from 1 species
UGUUAUCUGGCUCAGAUGGUAGAGAAUCUGCCUGCAGUGCAGGAGACCUGGGUUCGAUCCCUGGGUUGGGAA